UCCACUCUUCAUCAUAUCUCCUUUCUUCCCGUUGCUUAAACCCAGAACCUCAAACUAUGUUACAAUCUCUUCACCUUCGUUUUCACUCCUCCCCAUCACCUUCGAGAAGAGAGUCUCUGACUCCAUCGAUUACCUCCUCAUCUCCUUUCUCCUUUUGCUCGUUCCGACCGAAGCCAACCCAGAAACCGAAGCAGCUAGUUCAAUUCUGCGCCCCUUACGAGGUCGGAGGCGGAUACACCGAUGAGGAGCUCUUCGAAAGAUACGGAACCCAUCAGAGUAAAACCAACGUCGAAGACAAGCCAGAUGCGUCUGAGUACGAGGCUCUCCUUAAAGGAGGCGAACAAGUAACUUCUGUUCUCGAAGAGAUGAUAACCCUCGUAAGUUCAUGUUUCGUAUUUUGUGUUGUUUUCUUAAGCUUGGCAUUUCGUCGAACAACUUAGCUGCGUUUAGGUUUUGUAAUAGAAUUUGUCACUCGUUAGUUACUGGUUCUGCAAUGGUUUGACAUGUGAAGUGCUGUAGAGCUUUGCGUUUUUGUCGUUUUCCUAAGCUUGGCAUUUCGUCAAACAACUUACCUGCGUUUAGGUUUUUUUUUUUUUUUUUUUUGAUCAAAACCUGCGUUUAGGUUUUGUAAUAGAAUUUGUUACUCGUUAGUUACUGGUUCUGCAAUGGUUUGACUUUGACAUGUGAAGUGCCUUUAAUGUUGUAGAGCUUUGCGUUUUUGUCGUUUUCCUUAGCUUGGCAUUUCGUCGAACAACUUAGCUGCGUUUAGGUUUUGUAAUAGAAUUGUUACUCGUUAGUUAUUGGUUCUGUAAUGGUUUUUGACAUGUGAAGCGCCACUUGUGUGUGUGUAGCUGCAAGACAUGAAGAUGAAUGAAGCAUCUGAGAAUGUUGCUGUUGAAUUGGCUGCACAAGGAGUUAUAGGGAAAAGAGUUGAUGAGAUGGAGUCAGGGUUUAUGAUGGCUCUUGAUUACAUGAUUCAACUUGCAGACAAAGACCAAGACGACAAGGUAAAACCCUUUCUGUGUGUUUGUCUCUGAAUAGAUUGUCCUUAAAGCAAUUAACAUUUUGUUUUUUUGAGUUCAGAGGAAGUCUUUGCUAGAGGUUGUCAAGGAGACAGUCUUAUCUCAUCUCACUAAAAAAUGUCCUCCUCAUGUGAGUAAAUAGUUUCUUCUUUUGCUUUCAAGACUCUUUCCACUUAGCGUCAUUCAUUGAGUGUUGAUGUUUAUCUAGGUCCAAGUGAUUGGUCUACUCUGUAGAACACCUAAAAAGGAGAGUAGGCAAGAGCUGCUGCGUAGGGUAGCUGCAGGUGGUGGGGCUUUUGAAGGCAAGGACGGUACUAAACUUCAUUUACCUGGAGCUAAUCUGAAUGACAUAGCUAAUCAAGCUGAUGACUUGCUAGAGGUAUAUAUAAACAUUUGUAUUUCGAGAUCACGUGUCUGGACAAAGUGAACAAGUGUGAGGAAUUUUUUUGCAGACUAUGGAGACGAGGCCAGUUGUUCCUGAUAGGAAACUACUAGCGAGGCUUGUUUUGAUCAGAGAGGAAGCGAGGAACAUGAUGGGAGGUGGUAUACUUGAUGAGAGAAAUGACCGUGGUUUCAACACUCUGCCUGAAUCAGAGGUUUGUGAAACUCUAACUAUUAUGUCUAUUAUGUGGUGUUUUGAGCAAUAAUUGACUUGUUGCAUUAUCAUUGUACAGGUGAAUUUCUUAACCAAAUUGGUAGCUCUCAAACCAGGAAAGACAGUGCAGCAGAUGAUCAAGAAUGUAAUGCAAGGGAAAGAUGAAGGUGCAGAUGAUCUUAGCAAUGAAGAGGAUGAUUCUACCCAAGGAAGAAGACAAAGUGGAUUAAAGGGAAGGGUAAGUAUGGUCACCUAACACAUUUUCUGUUAAUAGAGAAGAUCUUUGAGUUGAUACUGAACCAAUGAUUAAGUCUUCAUUUCUAACUUGGCCUACUUGAACCCAAUCCAGGGAAGCUUUACAGGCAAAAAACCGUUACCAGUAAGGCCAGGAAUGUUUCUAGAGACUGUCACAAAGGUGUGUCCCAACAUUGAUCGAUUAGCUUUUGUCCAUAAAGAUGUAGUUGACCAUUUUUGUGUGAUGUUUUCAAUUCAAUCUUGAUAGGUAAUGGGCAGCAUAUAUUCGGGUGGUGUACUAUAAAGCUACACCUAAAAGAAGAUUAGGAAAUAAAGCAUGUGCCAGACAUAGUGAAUGGGAGAUAAAGAGAUAUUUUGUAAUAAUUGAGCCAAUAUCAAGCAAUCCUUGCCAUGCUUUGUUGCUUUCUCACUUCAAGAAAAUUAAAUAAAUCAUGUUGAUGAGCGAUUAUAUCUUACCUUGAACCAGGGUUAGAUAGAUUACAAGUUAUAAAAUGAAUACAUGGCUUUUCAUAUUGUGAGUUGAUCAAUAAAACUUACAUCCAUUGGGUGAAGAUUUACAUGGCAUCAUUAAUAUGAUCACUCAACCUGUAAUAAGAAUUAUAAAACACAAUUAUGUCAUUUGGACCCCAUCCAUGCUUCGUUCACAUGGUUGCUGAUCACCUCUGAAGAUUUUCAUAAUUGAAACCUGAUUUUGUGUAUCAAACGUAUAUUAGUAACCAAUCUUUUAUUAUUUGAAAAGUUGUUUGGUUCCAACAUUAACAAUUGUAAUCCAACAAACUUCCAUAAGCCGUCUUAGCUCAGUGGUAGAGCGCGUGACUUUUAAUCCCGUGGCCGUGGGUUCGAUCCCCACAGACGGCGUUUGUAUAUUUUUUAUUCUCAUUUUUAUCUAAUUAACAUUUAUCUUAUCCUCGUCGUCUUCUUCCACUCUUCAUCAUAUCUCCUUUCUUCCCGUUGCUUAAACCCAGAACCUCAAACUAUGUUACAAUCUCUUCACCUUCGUUUUCACUCCUCCCCAUCACCUUCGAGAAGAGAGUCUCUGACUCCAUCGAUUACCUCCUCAUCUCCUUUCUCCUUUUGCUCGUUCCGACCGAAGCCAACCCAGAAACCGAAGCAGCUAGUUCAAUUCUGCGCCCCUUACGAGGUCGGAGGCGGAUACACCGAUGAGGAGCUCUUCGAAAG
rnacentral:lncRNA from 1 species